CCGUUUAUUAUGGAGCGGGAAUUUAAGCGUCCAGCUCUAAGUCGAAGGGAUUCGGAGCAAGGUCAGAGGGGCUUGAACCCAAGACCGUCCGGGCUAAGUUGGCUGGACAUGACGUCAUGUUCGGCUGGCAUGGUUGCGAAAGCAGGAAUCGCGGGAAGAAUGAAGGCGGUUGAAACGAGUCUGAAGUGUGAAGCCGGGCGGCCAGCUCGUCCUCCAGACCGUUCCUGGCUCUGCUCUGGGCUCCAGUGGAGGGAAGGAGGAUGACGCCCUCCGUGGUCACCAGGACCAUCUGAGAAGCACCGAGGUAAA